rnacentral:sRNA from 1 species
UACCUGGCCUGGCAAAAGGCUGAUCCUUCUCGUCGGGUCUCGAGUGGGCCCUUUUCAAUAUACAGGGAUGCAACGACGCGUGAUGAUUGGCACGGUUCAGUACCGGAACAGAUCCGCAUACGCUGCAAUCAAAUGGAAUGAUUCUUGGAUGAAUACUCCGUAUGCUUAACGGGAAAUGCUUAAAUGGAAAUGUUCAAAAUUUUGGGCCAUGUACCGAUCUGUACACAUACUUACUCUGUUUACUCCGUAUGGCUUUUCGCACUUCACGACUUUGGGAACUUUGGGAAGGUCGUUGAUUUCCCCCAAGCGGUGUUUUGCCUGCGCCCACCUGUUCACGCGCUGAUAGGCGGAUAGGCAGCGGCCCUUCCAGCCCGUUGUUGGCCGUUGUGGGGCCUAGGCCAACUCCAGGAUAGCCAGCCGUCUCCAACACACGGCCGGAGUGAUUCCGGAACCCUCUGCUGGUGGGGAGUCCAGAGAGCCCUGGAUUCCUCCAGCCUUCCAGUAUGAGGACGGUUCCUUGUUUGGCCUCAAGAGAGUGCAAGAGUGAUGUCGAAAAAA